CAGGCAGAAAGAUUCCUGUGCUGUUGCCUUGCUGUAAGAUCUGGACUCCCUCCAUGCAGAUUGAAGGUGCAAAUACUGUUGGAGAUACAAUUUGGGAAGUGCCGCAUGCUACCGAUUAGAAGAGAUUGCGCAGAACGUCUCCAAAAGGAGCCACUUCCUGUGUUUCCUCAGAGCUCUUGUAUUUCUUAGGCAAACUUCUGCAGCAUAUAAUUACCGGUUUGAAACAAAACCCGCCGCUUGGGAUUUCAUUCUCAGAGCAGUAUCCCAUUCUGCAGUUAUGGUGCAGAGAGUCGCAGCCUGGCUUUCCGUCUUGAAUUAUCCCUGCAGGGAAGAAGAAAGAGGCUCGCCAGUUUAGGAAACAACAGCCCAUGCCGGCCGCUCAGAAUGACUUACUAGAAGGGCGAAGUGAAUUCCAGAAAAGCAGCUGUAUUGGUCUGUUGCAGAAAAAGCCAUGAAGAUUCUUCAAGGUUUGCGUGGGGUGGGUGGAUAAUGUAGACAAUAGCCUACUUUUCGAGAUGCAUGGAUAACUUCAUCAUAAUCCAUUCAUUAAGACCGUUCAUGGGGUCCAGGCACACAACGGAAAUUGCAUUCUUCAACUGAUCUAGGAGACCGAAUCGCCAGUCAGAGAGCCAGUACUGGUCCAAUAGCCUGACACAGAAUAAGGCAUAUGCUAGCUCUGCAACAGAAAAAGCACUAGAGGAGAGCACAGAAGAAGAAGAAGAGAAGAGUUUGUAUUUGAUAUCCCUCUUUAUCACUACCCAAAGGAGUCUCAAAGCGGCCAACGUUCUCCUUUCCCUUCCUCCCCCACAACAGACACCCUGUGAGGUGGGUGGGGCUGAGAGACUUCAGAGAAGUGUGACUAGCCCAAGGUCACCCAGCAGCUGCAUGUGGAGGAGCAGAGACACAAACCCGGCUCCCCAGAUUGCGAGUCUACCACUCUUAACCACUACAUCACACUGGCUCUCACAGGGCUUCCCAUGUGACUAUGUUCCUAUCCAGUGUCAAAGACGGGACCGCUUUAUCACCUCCCAUCAACGACAUUUUGGAAGAUCUCACCUGGAGCAGCCAGAGUGAUGGAGGUAUGAUGAUGAAGCAGCAGCAGCAGCAAGAAUACAGAUGUCUGCAUUGCGAUGGCAACCCAGCCGUCUGACAUGGGAGAAAUCCAAAGUAACAGAUAAAAGGGAAAAACACCCCCCUGAGGUGCAGUUCUUCCAAAAAUCCACAAGGUAAUUACUGGUUCUUGAUCAUCACAGAAAGUGGGCUCAGUGACUAGAGUAACCGUAAUUUGUUAAUGCCACUCAACACACCCUCAAGAACAGGCAACACAACCCAAAGCUUUGGCCCUCUCUAGUUUUUAUGGUUGAUGAAAGGGCCAGUGUUGGGGGAAGAUCCACACAGAUCAUUUCUACAUUUCAACACACAGGUUCUAUCACAAAUACUAUUAACUACCAGACAACGAAACAGCCAUCAGACAGUUCUUACCCUCGACGCCCUGUGGUGCUUUGCUCGCACUGCGGUUCUAACCACCUCAUGCUUGGAACACCUAGUAUGACAUAAGAGAAUGAAAUUCUCUUUCCCCAUAGGCUGGAAAAGCAAGGCCAUUGUUUGUCUAGCAGCCUCUUGUUUCAAGACUGCUUCAUUCUAGAGUGAUAUUAGCCAAUCAGGUUGCAUAUGUUUGUGACUCCUUUUCAAUUGGCAGAAAAGGAGACCUGACUUUUCAACUGGUCUUUAGUUUUUAAGGUCUAGAACAAGUUUUAGGGGUGUGCACCGACCACCAAUUUGGUUUGUAUAUGUUACUUUGGGAAACAGCUUAAUUUGUUCCAAGUCGCUCUGUUGUCUGCCUGAUUCAACUCAUGUUUUGGGUCUGAAGCAGCUUUGUUAAAAACAAAGCUCUGUUUCCCACCAUUUACUAUUAUGGGGGACUUUUUUGACAGAAGUGGAUAAAAUUUUCAGGCAUCUCUUUUUAUUUUUUAUUUGUAUUUGGUGAGAAUGGAUGAAAUUUGCUGCCAUGGUCUGAGGACAUGAAUCCUGCCAAAUUUCAGACGGAAGGCAGUCUUUACAGAUUUGGGAUGGGAAAACAGGAAUCACUUAACCUCUCUGAGUUUCUUAUGGGAAAUCAAUCAGAAAAUUGCUGGGAUGACGUUUCCUGGGAAAGAAAACUUCACACUGAAGACAAAUAGGUUAUAGCGCCAGGAGUCUAUUUAAGGUUGCUCUUGGGGUGGGGUGGGGAAGUUAAGGACAUUACAAAACCAAGAAUUAAAAGGAACUUUUCACUGCCACAGAAGGAAGGAAUGAAGAGUGACAACACUGUGCUCUAAACAUUGUAAGUUCUCUAGAACUAAAACUCAGCACAAAUGCAAACUCAAAAAGAACAAGGAGCCCACCCCCAGCAUAAAAAUAAAACAAUUAAAGUAGUUGCUCUGCUUGUUGUGACUUGAAGUGUUUUCUGAUCCAUUCUUCUAAGCACCCUGCUCUGGAGAGGCAGAACUUGCAAAAUAGCAAUAGGCAAGCUUGUGAAACCAACAAUUUCAUCAGUAUUCUACUUUCCCCAAAGCACCGUGACUGAAUAAACUGGUAAAAUAAUUCCUUCUGUUUAAAAGCUAAACCUGUCCAUUAAAAUGUGUCCGCUUGGUUUCUCUUUUAACAACACAAAGGAGUCUGCAGCAUUUUGUGUGCUUCUUUGACUGAGUCAGCAGAGCAACACAAGAGUUUUGGGGAGUGAGAGUGCUCCUCUGACUCAGGGUGCCUUGUUAACAUUGCCACCCAACUCAGGGAAAUAUAAAAACACUGUGAAGCAUCCCAGUUUGGAUUUCAAACAGAGCCAAUGCACACUUCCAACAGGUUUACAGCUCAGUAAAUUAAAACUAGGCAACAUGACUCAUAUCGUGACUCACAUCAGCACGUGUGCCUUAUUUUUAAAGCACCUAUGGCGGCAGGAUUUGGUAGUCUAAUGUAAUAUCAAAAGUACUGUACAGUACUUGCUUUAGAACAUAGGUACCUUCACGUGGUAUUUGCUCAGUCCAAUGUCAAGCAUGAUAUCACUGCCUCCCAAACAUAUGGGAUCAUUUCAUAGCACCACAAGCUUCCCUAUUCAUGUGCCAGUGCAGUAAGACAAUGUUAUUUGCUUUUUAAAGGUUUGCUUAUUGUUCAUUUGGGAGAUAUUACCUGUUUUGUUCCUUUGCCGGCAUUGUGUGUGUGUGUGUGUGUGUGUGUGUGUGUGUGCGUGCGUUUUGUUUUCGUUUUUUGGAGGGGGUAUAAGUAUUUUGCUUGCUGGAGGCAGUUUACAUUCUGAGUGUUGUCAGUUUCCUACUGUGAAAUGGGUACCUUGUGGUACCCCUGACAGUUUAUGAGAUUUCCAAAUGUGCAAGAACAUAGAUAGAACCUAUCUGUUCUUAAGGAAAUCAGCCCUGAGUGCUCACUGGAAGGACAGAUCCUGAAGCUGAGGCUUGCUUUCUUCAAGUUGAGCUUUAGAAUUCAACACACAGAGCCUCUGAGGCAUCAAAAGCUUCUUCCUACUGGCUGUGAGAACUUGCAUAAGCACCGCUAGCUUCCCAGAGCUGGUGCGUUGAGUGUACCUUAAUGCCCAAGCAAGGCAGAGAGCUUAAAAAUCUCUUUUUGCACCUCAUUCACUUGGGUUAAAGGUAAAGGUGAAGGGACCCCUGACCGUUAGGUUCAGUCACAGACGACUCUGGGGUUGCGGCGCUCAUCUCACUUUACUGGCCAAGGUAGCCGGCGUUUGUCUGCAGACAGCUUCCGGGUCAUGUGGACAGCAUGACUAAGCUGCUUCUGGCAAACCAGAUUCAGGUAUACCGGAGCGGUACCUAUUUAUCUACUUGCACUGGUGUUCUUUCGAACUGCUAGGUUGGCAGGAGCUGGGUUACCUAGUGCCUAGGUUUUAAGCUUUCCUCCUUGCUUGGGGGACAAGGUCUGCUCAGCACUCUGGCUUCAGGGAUACAGUGGAACCUUGGUUUUUGAACGUAGUCCGUUCUGGAAGACCGUUUGACUUCUGAAACGUUCGAAAACCAAGGAUCAAUGGGUGGUUGGCAAAAUCCAUUGGGAAAAAAUAGAGAAAUGUGCCUCGGAAGCUGUUCGGCUUCUGAGGCACAUUCGAAUAUGGAAGCAAUUACUUCCGGGUUUUUGGCGUUUGGAUUCCAAAUCGUUUGGCUUCCAAGAUGCUCAAAAACAUAGGCUCCACUGUACUAUGGACUCUCUCUCUCUCUCCCACUGACCAUGGGUGUGGAGAGCUGUUCGACAGUGGAACUUGCUGCCAAGGAGUGUGGUGGAGUGUCCUUCUUUGGAGGUCUUUAAGCAGAGGCUUGACAGCCAUCUGUCAGGAAUGCUUUGAUGGUGUUUCCUGCAUUCCAGGGGGUUGAACUGGAUGGCCCUUGUGGUCUCUUCCAACUCUAUGAUUCUAUGAUCUAUGGUUCUGAGGAUUUGGGUAUAUGUGACUUCUGUGCAUAUGUGGAAUUCUCAGAGCUGAACCCCCGCAUAAGAUGCACUCAUGCUGUAAAACCCAAGGAUUGCAAGAAAAGCACUCCAAUUUCCAGUGAGCUUUCCGUCCAAAUCAAGCCCAACCGGGCUAAGUGUUGCUGACUCUGAAAUGUCUUAGUCCUCAGAGAAGUGGGGAGUCCAGAACAAUGUUCUGAGUCACCCUACCCAGGUGCCUGCCCACAAUUCUUGGCCACCUAUAACAACACAGGUCUCAUUUUUUAAAUUAUUAUAUAAAAAAGAAUCAUUUAUUUCUUAUAUAAAUCUAUGAUUUGUUUUUGCAAUGAGGGAUUGGCACUACAGCUUGACACCAUGGGUUGGAAAAGCUGCGAGUGCUUUAAAAGGAAAAAAGAGGAAAGAAAGACAAUGCCAGAGGGUGCAUAAAUGCGCACAGUCACGCAGCGGUCCUGAUUUCCUCUCCGUUUCACAGUGGAAUUGUUGAGCUGGAAGAAACCACUUUCCUAAAAAAGAGCAUGCAGACUUCAGGCGUCGGGUCGCUCAGGACACUCUCGCCCAGGUUCCCAGGUCAUCCGUCACAGUCUCGGCACCGCCGCCUCUCAGUCCUUCUCCCGGCAACAUUUUAUUUUCGUGUGGUAGCACGUGCUGAUCUCAAUUUCAUCGUAGAAGCACCGAUUGCCUCGGCAUUUCCCCGCUCUCCGCCAGCAGCGCCUGACGAAUAAGUUCAAACCGGCUCCUUAGCAAAGGAAAAUGAUGCAAUUAGGAUGGGGGAGGGUCUGUAUCCUAAUGGCAGAGCUCCUGCUUUGCAUGUCAAAGGUCCCAGGUAGGGGACAUGGCAUCUCUGGGUAGGGUUCGGAAAGACCCCCAUCUGAAAUGAUGGUUGGCCAUCAUUUCAGACCCAGAACACAACUUUAACCAAAACCUGCAUUGGGGGACCCAUUUAUUAAAUGUUCACCAGAGAUAUUUGCAUGGUAGUGUUCCUGUGGCUACCCACCUUGGAUCAGGCUGUGGGUCCGGCUAGUAAGCCUUAAACAGCUCAGGACUGCAAUACCUCAAGGACUGCCUCUUUCCAUAUGAACCUACCCGGACACUGAGAUCAUCAUCUGAGACCCUCCUUUGUG